AUUUUAUUAAUAUAAUAAAGUAUAUUUGAUUUCCAAUCAAAAAGUUUAAAUACUAAAUAAAAUA
rnacentral:tRNA from 4 species